rnacentral:rRNA from 1 species
CCUACGGGAGACAGCAGUGGGGAAUAUUGCACAAUGGGGGAAACCCUGAUGCAGCGACGCCGCGUGAGCGAUGAAGUAUUUCGGUAUGUAAAGCUCUAUGAGCAGGGAAGAAAAUGACGGUACCUGCCUAAGAACCCCCGGCUACCUACGUGCCAGCAGCCGCGGUAAUACGUAGGGGGCAAGCGUUAUCCGGAUUUACUGGGUGGAAAGGGAGCGUAGACGGUCCUGCAAGCCAGAUGUGAAAGCCCGGGGCUCAACCCCGGGACUGCAGUUGGAACUAUAAGGCUAGAGUGUAGGAGAGGCAGGCGGAAUUCCUAGUGUAGCGGUGGAAUGCGUAGAUAUUAGGAGGAACAUCAGUGGCGAAGGCGGCCUGCUGGACGAUGACUGACGUUGAGGCUCGAAAGCGUGGGGAGCAAACAGGAUUAGAUACCCUUGUAGUC